rfam:Arabis alpina cultivar Pajares chromosome 8, whole genome shotgun sequence.
AUCUUUGCGCUUGGGGCAAUGACGCAGCUAAUGAGGUUCUAACCGAGGCGCGUCUAUUGCUGGUUGAAAACUAUUUCCAAACCCCCUCUUGGGCCUAAGCUUGUCUUGGGCCUUCGAGAAUUUCUGGAAGGACUCCCUACGGGGUAAAGUC